UGCCUACCAUGGUGAUAACGGGUAACGGGGAAUCAGGGUUCGAUUCCGGAGAGGGAGCCUGAGAAACGGCUACCACUUCCAAGGGAGGCAGCAGGCGCGCAAAUUACCCACUCCCAGUACGGGGAGGUGGUGACGAAAAAUACCGAUGCGGGACUCUUAUUGAGGCUCCGUAAUCGGAAUGAGUGAACUCUAAAUCCUUUCACGAGGAUCAAUUGGAGGGCAAGUCUGGUGCCAGCAGCCGCGGUAACUCCAGCUCCAAUAGCGUAUAUUAAAGUUGCUGCAGUUAAAAAGCUCGUAGUUGGAUCUCGGUAUCACUGUCGCCUGCCAGUCCUCGGCUGAUUGUGUCGGUGUAGGUGGGACCUUGCUUCGCUCGGUGCCCCUUGCCCAGGCAUGGUCAUGCUCGAGUUGGCGUGGCGGUGGUGUCACCUUUCAGCCAUGUCUGUGGUGAAAUACCCGCAGGUGUAGGCGAGUGUCAGGCGGUGCUCUGCGACAGUAGGGUCCGUCGGCUCGUCUGCAUGCCUUUGGAUGCCCUUCAAAAGGUGUCUAUGGGCGGAUGGCACGUUUACUUUGAACAAAUUUGAGUGCUCAAACCAGGCCGAUGUCGCCUGAAAAGUUUUGCAUGGAAUAAUGGAAUAGGACUUCGGUUCUAUUUCGUUGGUUUUCGGAUCCGAAGUAAUGAUCAAAAGAGACAGGCGGGGACGUUUGUAUGGUUGCGCUAGAGGUGAAAUUCAUGGACCGUAACCAGACAAACUAAAGCGAAAGCAUUCGUCAAGCAUGUUUUCAUUGGCCAUGAGCGAAAGUCAGAGGCUCGAAGACGAUCAGAUACCGUCCUAGUUCUGACCAUAAACGAUGCCAACUGACGAUCCGUGGUGGUAGUAUUUUAACCAUCCCCACGGGCAGUCACUGCAUGACAGCUGAAACUUCCUGACUCAACGUAUCCUAUUGCACACGGUGGUUUAUUUUCCUUUGAUAAGGA
rnacentral:rRNA from 1 species